ACAAUCUUUCUAGUCCUAUAAAUACAUAUACAUGUAAACACACAUCCAUCAAAAGUACUCAGCAUGGACUGCAAGCGCACCAUCAUCGUUGUUAUGUCUGCUAUCUUUAUGUUGGCGCUCCUCGUGUCUUGUGAUACAUUUCAAGGAAAAUGCAAAACGAAGGAGAUCCAUACAAAUGUACCAUGUCGUAAAUCCGAUAUGUGUAAUGAGUGGUGCCAUUCCGGCGAAUUCCCUGGCGGCGGGUACUGCAAUAUUCAGGGUGAUGAAGUAUUUUGUGUGUGUGUGGGUUGUGCGCCACCAACAUAAAACGGCUAGUUUGUAUCGAUGAGCUUCUUUGAAAAUAAAUAAAGUACAUGUAUCUAUGAAUAA